UACGUAGGGGGCAAGCGUUGUCCGGAUUUAUUGGGCGUAAAGAGCGUGUAGGCGGCCAGGUAGGUCCGCUGUGAAAACUCGAGGCUCAACCUCGAGAGUGUCGGCGGAAACCAUCUGGCUAGAGUCCGGAAGAGGAAAGUGGAAUUCCCGGUGUAGCGGUGAAAUGCGCAGAUAUCGGGAAGAACACCCGUGGCGAAAGGCGGCUUUCUGGGACGGUACUGACGCUGAGACGCGAAAGCGUGGGGAGCGAACAGG
rnacentral:rRNA from 1 species